AGAGUUUGAUCCUGGCUCAGGAUGAACGCUGGCGGCGUGCCUAAUACAUGCAAGUCGAGCGAACGGACGGGAAGCUUGCUUCUCUGAUGUUAGCGGCGGACGGGUGAGUAACACGUGGAUAACCUACCUAUAAGACUGGGAUAACUUCGGGAAACCGGAGCUAAUACCGGAUAAUAUUUUGAACCGCAUGGUUCAAAAGUAAAAGACGGUCUUGCUGUCACUUAUAGAUGGAUCCGCGCUGCAUUAGCUAGUUGGUAAGGUAACGGCUUACCAAGGCAACGAUGCAUAGCCGACCUGAGAGGGUGAUCGGCCACACUGGAACUGAGACACGGUCCAGACUCCUACGGGAGGCAGCAGUAGGGAAUCUUCCGCAAUGGGCGAAAGCCUGACGGAGCAACGCCGCGUGAGUGAUGAAGGUCUUCGGAUCGUAAAACUCUGUUAUUAGGGAAGAACAUAUGUGUAAGUAACUGUGCACAUCUUGACGGUACCUAAUCAGAAAGCCACGGCUAACUACGUGCCAGCAGCCGCGGUAAUACGUAGGUGGCAAGCGUUAUCCGGAAUUAUUGGGCGUAAAGCGCGCGUAGGCGGUUUUUUAAGUCUGAUGUGAAAGCCCACGGCUCAACCGUGGAGGGUCAUUGGAAACUGGAAAACUUGAGUGCAGAAGAGGAAAGUGGAAUUCCAUGUGUAGCGGUGAAAUGCGCAGAGAUAUGGAGGAACACCAGUGGCGAAGGCGACUUUCUGGUCUGUAACUGACGCUGAUGUGCGAAAGCGUGGGGAUCAAACAGGAUUAGAUACCCUGGUAGUCCACGCCGUAAACGAUGAGUGCUAAGUGUUAGGGGGUUUCCGCCCCUUAGUGCUGCAGCUAACGCAUUAAGCACUCCGCCUGGGGAGUACGACCGCAAGGUUGAAACUCAAAGGAAUUGACGGGGACCCGCACAAGCGGUGGAGCAUGUGGUUUAAUUCGAAGCAACGCGAAGAACCUUACCAAAUCUUGACAUCCUUUGACAACUCUAGAGAUAGAGCCUUCCCCUUCGGGGGACAAAGUGACAGGUGGUGCAUGGUUGUCGUCAGCUCGUGUCGUGAGAUGUUGGGUUAAGUCCCGCAACGAGCGCAACCCUUAAGCUUAGUUGCCAUCAUUAAGUUGGGCACUCUAAGUUGACUGCCGGUGACAAACCGGAGGAAGGUGGGGAUGACGUCAAAUCAUCAUGCCCCUUAUGAUUUGGGCUACACACGUGCUACAAUGGACAAUACAAAGGGCAGCGAAACCGCGAGGUCAAGCAAAUCCCAUAAAGUUGUUCUCAGUUCGGAUUGUAGUCUGCAACUCGACUACAUGAAGCUGGAAUCGCUAGUAAUCGUAGAUCAGCAUGCUACGGUGAAUACGUUCCCGGGUCUUGUACACACCGCCCGUCACACCACGAGAGUUUGUAACACCCGAAGCCGGUGGAGUAACCUUUUAGGAGCUAGCCGUCGAAGGUGGGACAAAUGAUUGGGGUGAAGUCGUAACAAGGUAGCCGUAUCGGAAGGUGCGGCUGGAUCACCU
rnacentral:rRNA from 1 species